AUGUGGUCUCUUAUGCCCUUUCAGAAAGAAAUUGAGGGAAACUUUGUAUACAUGGAGAUUGAUUCAUCUCCUGCCAGUGGAGCUACUGUUGGUGGCCGUGAAGUUGCUCAAGGCAUCGGGAGCCAGCAGCAGUUUGCUCAAUACUUAUAUGCAAGAGAUGUCUUUCAAGAGCACCCGCAAGCUGUCACUGCUAUCGAAGGUGUGACCAGCUGGAUGUGGGCUUGCCCACCUAUUCCUACUCCAAGACCUCAAGACUGGUACUUCCACAUGCAAGAUGAAGAGAAGAUGGAGAGUGGAUCGUUACAGGAACAACACAACACUCGGAGGAUUAGUACCAGUGUUGCUUUAGCCCCUGUUUUGAGGUGUGAUAAAGCACAGAUGUUGUAUGUGCAUGAUAGCUCGUCCAUCGCCUGCAUUCCAUGCCCACAAGGUGUAGACUGGGGGUGGCUUCAAUGGUGCCGAGUAGAGAGGUGCCCCAAGCUGUGCUCUGUCUUUGCUACUCCCCAACUAGAUGGUGGUGAAACCAUCUUUUGGUGGUUGAGGACAUUCUGGGCGUCCCAGCUCCCUAUGGCGUGCUACAUCUGGAACUGGAGUACAACAUACCAACCAAGUGUAGGAUCCUUCGAAUACCUAGUAUUAUUGCACCUGGACAAUUGCCCUAGGCUCAAACAUGUGCUUCCCUUGUCUAAUCUUAUGGACACCCUGCCUAGCCUGGAGACGCUCGAGAUCGUGUGCUGCGGUGAUCUGAAGGAAGUCUUCCCUUUGGACCCUAAGCGCCAAGAGAAGCAUGAAAUUAUAAAAUUUCCCAACCUAAAAAGGAUCCACCUGUACCAGCUCUCCAGUCUACAGAGCAUCUGUGGGAGCAGGAUGUCCGCGCCGAACCUUGAGACCGUCAGAAUCCGGGGCUGCUGGGGCCUUCGACGCCUGCCGGUAGUCAGUGGCAGAACCACCAACCGGCCCAAGGUGGACUGCGAGAAGGACUGGUGGGACAACCUGGAGUGGGACGGGGUGGAGGCGAACCACAACCCUUCGCUCUAUGAGCCGCGCCACUCGCAAUACUACAAGAAGGCCCACCUGCCAAGGGUCACCGUUCUCAGGUAA
rnacentral:rRNA from 1 species